rnacentral:snoRNA from 1 species
AAGACUAUACUUUCAUGGAUCAUUUCUAUAGUUUGUUUUAUGUAGUAUCUAAGUACUUAAAUAUGAGAAUCUUUUGUGUGAACCUUAGUAGUGAUCACCUCACCUAUCUGA